AGAGCACCAAUUAUGCUAAUAAAUUAGCACGUUAGCACGUUAUUGUAAUAUCCCAUAGUACAUACAUGUUAUUAAAACUUGAACUAAUGCACUGUGAGUCUUAUAAAUUGCUUACAUACCUCACCGAUUUCUGCAUGUCUGGAAAACGCUCGAUUUAGUUCCUGUCUCCGCCUCCCAAAAUGUCUAGUGUAUUCGGAUUGGUCAGAUGACUACUCAACUGUUAUUGGUCAACUGGGUUCGGCGUGUGUUUGAAAGGUUACGCCCCUGACUACGCGUGGAUUUUCCGGUUCUGACUGAGAGUCACAGGCAACGUAAACAAGCGCUAUAUUUCUCUAUAAACGAUGGUGUCUGUACUGCCUUACCACUUCAAGCUCGAUCCAGAGAGUUCAGACGGCCGUUACGAUAUAAAUGAUCUCCGUCAAUGAACGCGAUUGGAUUUAACUUUUUUAGGUGUCCUUAGCUCUGCCAGAAUGCUAAACGAAGACGAAAAUGUGUUGCAAAGACAUCCAAAAGGUUUUAAGGAGAAUGCAACAUGUUCCAGGGCGUCUUACCUGCGUGAUUCAUCAUCCAGGUUUUGCACAAAUUGUCUAAAUCCCUACACACAGAACAUUUAUUGUACCGACUAUAAGCCUUUGAGGUGCAGGACUACACUAUCUAUUCAGAUAAAUGGCACAGCAAAGCUUUGUCAGCUGGUGCUAUUUAAGACGACACUAUAAGGUUAUCAUCCUGUCGUGUGUUGUUCUCCAGAUACGCUUGGAGCUUCCUGAUCAGAUCGGUCACAAUUUUGGCUUUCGACGACCCCUGCACUGAAGAUGGCAUGCAAUCACGUCCUCCUUUGAAGGUCUCUCAAACUGUGAUGCCAGGUCCAUUGGAAUCGGGGUUUCCUUCAGCUUAUCUUCAAAUACCUCAUCAAACACAAGCCUGAUCACAUCAUCCACAUAACUGUAGAAAUAUUGCAGUCAAUAAAUCUUUUGUUUUGAUCAUUUAUUUCCCUGCUUCAUACAUUAAGUUUUUAAUUAUGAAUGUAUUUGAAAUAAAACAUUACUGCUUA